rnacentral:rRNA from 1 species
AGAGUUUGAUCAUGGCUCAGAAUGAACGUUAGCGGCGCGCCUGAUGCAUGCAAGUCGUACGGUCUAAUAAUUCGCAAGAGUAAUUAGAUAGUGGCGAACGGCUGAGUAACGCGUAAGUAACCUACCUCUAAGUGGGGGAUAACCUGCCGAAAGGCAAGCUAAUACCGCAUGUGCUGAAAAGCGUGAGCUUUUCAGUAAAGCUUCGGCGCUUGGAGAGGGGCUUGCGUCUGAUUAGCUAGUUGGUUGAGGUAAUGGCUCACCAAGGCGAUGAUCAGUAGCUGGCUAAGAGGACGACCAGUCAGACAGGGACUGAGACACGGCCCUGACUCCUACGGGAGGCAGCAGCAAGGAAUUUUGCGCAAUGGGCGAAAGCCUGACGCACGCCCGCGUGGGGGAUGAAGGCUUUCGAGUUGUAAACCCCUUUUCCUGAGAAAGAAUAAUGACGGUACUCAGGGAAUAAGUCUUGGCUAACUACGUGCCAGCAGCCGCGGUAAUACGUAGAAGGCAAACGUUAUUCGGAUUUACUGGGCGUAAAGCGGGUGUAGACGGUUACUUAAGUCGGUUGUGAAAUCUCCUGACUCAAUUAGGAGGGGACAAUCGAAACUGGAUGACUUGAGGGCAGCAGAAGAAAGUGGAAUUCCCGGUGUAGCGGUGAUAUGCGUAGAUAUCGGGAGGAAUACCAGUGGCGAAGGCGACUUUCUAGGUUGUUCCUGACGUUGAGGCCCAAAAGCGUGGGGAGCGAAACGGAUUAGAUACCCUAGUAGUCC